rnacentral:lncRNA from 1 species
CCGGAUGCAUUGGAUGAACUGAUUUUAGCCUCUGCUGCAGGAGCUCUCAGCCCACCCCCCAAUCUACCUGUACCUUGCCCAGCUAUCAACUCCCAACCCCCUCAGUUGAGGCCCAUCUCUGCUUCUACUGGGAUUUUUCAUCACCAAGGCCUAGGGGACCUGCAGCAAGGUCCCCUUUCCCAGGCUAGGGUGGGCACCUUAUCCCCCCUCCUCUGCCCCUUCCCAUGCCAGAGGCUGCAGGGGGGUGGGGCAAAGCUGUGCUGAGCUCUUUGCUCUCUCCUCCCCCUUCCUGUGAAAGCAGCAUGCGGAGCUGAACUAGUGAGGAUGUGAGGGGCUCACUCUAAAAUCCCUGCACUCAAAAAAAAAUUAUAAGAGUUGGCUGUAGUGUUCCCCCGUAAUGUCUUCAGCUCUGGAGGUUUUAAGACCCAGCACUAACAUCUGAUGUCUUUGCUCUCCUGUACUGACACUAUUCAAACCCCACCAGCCUGCAGAGAGGGUGGAGAAAACCAGCUUUAGCUAGGAUUCAGCUACACGUUUGUUCUUCCCAAGUGACAUCUAUUCAGGUGCUGAUAGUAUUUAAUGAUCCACCUAUUUAUGCACAGAUGUGCUGGCCCCACUUCCCCGUCUCUUAAGCACACAAGACAGUCAUAAGAUAUAAGAAUACAGACAGUUCAUAAAAUCAAACUGGAAUUCACAAGUUGUACAUAUACCUAGUUCCCAGCUCAUCACAGAUGCACUUUAUAAAAUCCUUUUUAGGUAAUAGCAUACGGAGGGCCAUCAUUCCACACCCUUAAUUAAAACUCCGUGGGCCACCAAUUACACAAGAAUCAGCGAUGUUCAGACCUCCUAGACCUUGACCAAAGAAUUGCAGCACUUGUCUGAAAAGAACAAAGGUUAGUUUGGUGACAAAGCGGCACACUUCCAAUUGGCAUCACACCCGCAAGUCUGGAUGAGCACAUUGUCUUAUCACGGAAGAUUUCUGCUUCCCAUUCUGGAAAAGGAUGAUGUUG